CCCCCCCCACCCCCCCCGCCAAAGACUCUUGAAUGGACUCAAGGCCUGAGGAUGGAGGGGCUCAAGACGGGGACUAAGCAGUGGGCUGGGGGCUGUCUGGAAACAGGAGAGACCUCGCUGGAGUCUGUGGAGCUUGGCUUCUGGAGCUGGACUGUCUGGACUGCCUUGAACAAGUCACUUAACCUCUCUGAGCAUCAGUUUCUUAGCUAUGAAAUGGGGAUAAUAAAUCCUAAAUUUUUUGUGUGGAUUUAAGGUGAUGGUGCAUGUAACCAGCUCCAAUAAAUUGUAAGCGCUCAAUAAAUGCAACUUUUCUCAUCA